AAAACAAAAAAAAAAAAAAAAAAAAAAAAAAGAGGACUGUCAAGUCCUAGUGUUAGAAGGAAACUAAUAGGAAGAAGGAAACAUGACAGCUCCCAGAAAAGGAACAGCUAGAAUGAUGGGGCCUCUGUUUCAUGGUUAACAGCCAAAUGAAGGCAAAAGCAUGAAGAAUGGAACUCAUCUGGUGAAGGCAGGAACUUAUUGGCAGAAGCAGGCCAAGAAGUGAAGAGCAGAGGUUUACGGCCUUCCCAGAUCAUAAAUCAGAUUCCUAAGGGCAGAAAGAGCUACAGGCUGCCCCCUGGUGUGAGGAAUUGCCGCCCAAAGCUCAGCAGUCCUAGAGCAGAAUCUUUACAAAAACACUUGAUCUCAAAACAAGAUACAAAAGGGAAUUUUGGAAACUGGAGUCUUGACUUUUAAAAGGGCACCGAAAAGUGAUGUCAAAUCCAGAGGCAGAUUGUGCUUACCACAAGACACAAGAAAAAGCUCCGGGCUUGCUUAAUGAUGGGUUACACCUAUUACUCUUUCCACUGAGGACAUGUCCAGUUAAUCACAAAUGAAGCCAACAUCUGGAGAGCUGCUUGGUGGUGUAACCAUCUAUAAAAAUUAGUCUGAGAUCAUCAGGCCCCAACUAGUCUGGGGGUGGGAAGAGGGAAAGAGGGAGUAGCAAGUUCUGGGCUGUCCGGUGCUAUGACUGAUGUAAGGGGGGGAAAACUAGGAAACGCUUAUAAUCACGACUGCCCAUGUACUCGAGUCUUCAGAUUGGCUGUUUAUAACUUACCAGGUCCAUGUCUCUUCUGCAAUUAUUCCAAGGACUUUUGCCUACCACAAUAGAAACUGAAAUCUCUAAAGGGUUUCCCCCUUUUUGGGGGAAGGGAAGUUUUGCUUUCCCCAGGCUGAACCCUUAAAAUCCAUAAUCAUUCCCUCAUGUGUGUAGUGAAAAUGAAUCAAGGUUUAUUUUUGCUAGGUUAGUGGGAAUGAUGUUUACAAUCCAGAUUUUCCAGUGGGCACUGCACUAUAUAAAUCCAGCUUGUAAUCUGAUAGUAUAAUUAAAGCUAUU
rnacentral:lncRNA from 1 species